GAGAAACAAGAAAGGCGCACUCCCGAUCAUGCGCUGGACUUAUGUCUGGAAAUUUCCACUAUCCACUCAUUUAAAGUGCUGUAUGUCCCUCAUUUUUCAGAGUAGAAGCCUGAAACAAUGCCUAAAUACUGGCCACAUGUAGAAGAAGCCAUUGAGAUCGUUAACUGGGUCCUAAGUCUUUCUAUGGUGGAUAGGCUUUCAAUGGAAAAACAGCCUUUCAAAAUAAUAGUACUUCCUGGAAAUAUUUUCCUCAGGUUUUCGCCUGCCAUAUCAGGUCUGUUAUACUCACCGACAUUAUUUUUACAGUUUUGGAAACUUUCGAGUGUUUUCUAUCCAAAUCUACCACUUAUAUGCAUAUCCGAAAUUCCGAAUGCUGCCCCCUACCCUAGUGAGGUUAAUUGAAAUGCAUUCCAGGUGACUACUUCAUGAAGCUGGUUGAGAGACUGCCAAGAGUGUGCAAAGCUGUCAUCAAGGCAAAUGGUGGCUACUUUUAAGAACAUAAAUUGUAUUUUGAUUUGUUUAACACUUGUUUAACACUUUUUUGGUUACUACAUGAUUCCAUAUGUGUUACUUCCUAGUUUUGAUGUCUUCACUAUUAUUCUACAAUGUAGAAAAUAGUAAAAAUAAAGAAAAACCCUUGAAUGAGUAGGUGUGUCCAAACUUUUGACUGGUACUGUACAUACAUACAUACAUACAUACAUACAUACAUACAUACAUACAUACAUACAUACAUACUGUCUGCUACAGUAGAAACGACAACACGAUAUACAGAAAAUAAGGCACUUACUUUGAUAGCAACGCACACAUGUUCAAAGUUAUUAUGUGUAAGGAAAACAACAAUGCGAGCGCCAGCCAGAAAAUGUGCCAGUUCAUGCAAGACAGCGCAAAUGUCAAACAUAAAUUGUCCACUCACUGAAAUGGGCUACUUCUAUGUGAAUAAAUGAAGAGGCGGAACACACCUUAAUUCAAACUGUUGUUAAAAAAUACAACUCGUUACAAAAUCAUUUGAAAUUGACAAGUUGGAACAUAGCCUAUAGAUAAUUAGCAGGCAGAGAGUGUUAACUGUCCUGUUGCGUAACAAUCACAUUUUGGAAAAGUGAGUCCAUUCUUAUAUCACGUGCAUAAAACAACUCACGCUGGGUUGACCAUCAGAGAUAUUUGGAACUCACAUGUGGAAAGGUUAAGGUUGCUGUGACACAUCUAUAACCUGAGCGGAAACCAGAUUGCAUACCAGAGAGAAUACAAUAGACAUCAAGAAAGCCAGUCAGUUGGUUAUUGAAAAGUUUUUCUGACACUUUUGAUAAACAGGGCAAUAUAGAAAUUGGCCUAUGAUCAGCUUGAUCUCCCCGUUUAACUUCUCUAGGGUCGGUGGGACGAAAUCGUCCCACCUACGUAACAGCCAGUGGAAC
rnacentral:lncRNA from 1 species